UCACAGCUGAACUUCCAGAGCCAGGUCAAGUCACAGUUGAGCUUCCAGAGCCAAGUCAAAUCACCGUUGAACUUCCAGAGCCAGGUCAAGUCACAGUUGAGCUUCCAGAGCCAAGUCAAAUCACCGUUGAACUUUCAGAGCCAGGUCAAGUCACAGUUGAGCUUCCAGAGCCAAGUCAAGUCACCGUUGAACUUUCAGAGCCAGGUCAAGUCACCGUUGAACUUCC